rnacentral:misc_RNA from 1 species
GAACGCACCUUGCGCCCUUUGGCCAUUCCGAAGGGCAUGCCUGUUUGAGUGUCAUGAAACCUCACCCCACUUGGGUUUUUGCCUGAGCGGUGGUGUAUUGGGUGUUGCCUUGCUAAAGGCUCGCCUUAAAGACAUAAGCACCUUGGAUGUAAUACGUUUCAUCCUUCUGGGUGGCUGAUAACCCCACAUAUUCAUGAUCUGGCCUCAAAUCAGGUAGGGCUACCCGCUGAACUUAAG